rnacentral:rRNA from 2 species
GCAGUCGAACGAGUUCUCGUUGAUGAUCGGUGCUUGCACCGAGAUUCAACAUGGAACGAGUGGCGGACGGGUGAGUAACACGUGGGUAACCUGCCCUUAAGUGGGGGAUAACAUUUGGAAACAGAUGCUAAUACCGCAUAGAUCCAAGAACCGCAUGGUUCUUGGCUGAAAGAUGGCGUAAGCUAUCGCUUUUGGAUGGACCCGCGGCGUAUUAGCUAGUUGGUGAGGUAAUGGCUCACCAAGGCGAUGAUACGUAGCCGAACUGAGAGGUUGAUCGGCCACAUUGGGACUGAGACACGGCCCAAACUCCUACGGGAGGCAGCAGUAGGGAAUCUUCCACAAUGGACGCAAGUCUGAUGGAGCAACGCCGCGUGAGUGAAGAAGGCUUUCGGGUCGUAAAACUCUGUUGUUGGAGAAGAAUGGUCGGCAGAGUAACUGUUGCCGGCGUGACGGUAUCCAACCAGAAAGCCACGGCUAACUACGUGCCAGCAGCCGCGGUAAUACGUAGGUGGCAAGCGUUAUCCGGAUUUAUUGGGCGUAAAGCGAGCGCAGGCGGUUUUUUAAGUCUGAUGUGAAAGCCCUCGGCUUAACCGAGGAAGCGCAUCGGAAACUGGGAAACUUGAGUGCAGAAGAGGACAGUGGAACUCC